AAUUUCAGGGCCGUUGUCGCCUCCGGGCGGUCCGCGGGUCCCGAGCGGACUGGGACUCUGGAGACGUGCCCCCAACCCCACCGCCAUUCACCCUGUCAUUGCAGGGGAGAGAACAGAAUAAAGACGGAUUAAAGAACAAGGAGAUGGCUGGCUAUUUAAGAAGGAAAGGCAGAGGCUGCAGAAAUUGAGCCUAACGGCUUAUCAGAUGGGAUGGAUAAUUCUUUAAGUUUAAAAGAACUACUCAUUUUCCCCAACAUCUGUCUUUGCCAUCUUCCUAUCUAAGGAACCUUUCACUUUUUAGCUGGGGACAUAGCUUUCUGGUAUGAGAACUACACUGCUCAAACUUCCAAUCAGCUUGUAUGCACUUGGUGAAUCUUACCUACCACAAACAGAAGUCUGGAAAGUGAAAAUUUAUUUCCUUUUCACCAUGACCAGCCUUGUUCAGAACAUCUGAGAGGCACAGACCUGAGAAAGAAUCCCCAGGCUGAAGAGGUAGAAGUUGGCAGAAGUUAAAAGCAAUGUCUCCACAAUGGAGAAGUGACAUGCUAAAGGAACCUGGCAUCUAGACAUUUCCUAACCCCCAAUCCCUCCUUACAUAUGACCUGCUCUUAGAGGAGUACAGCGUGGUGGUUAGGAGUGUGGACUCGGCAGCCAGAAAUCCUGGGAUCUGUUGCUUGUUAGCUGUGGGCCUUAAGCUAAGAACUUAACCUCUCUGUGCCUCAGUUGCUCCAUCUGUUCAAAUGAAGAUAAUGAUAAUGAAGAUGAUAUCACCUGCUGUGUAGGAUUGUUAUGAAAAAUCAAGAAUUAAUAUUUGUAAAUCACUUACAGGGUCUGGCACAUAAUAAGUGCUGUGUGGGUGUUUGUUAAAUAAAAUAAUAUACAAUGACAUAGGCAUUGUGGUUGUUCU
rnacentral:lncRNA from 1 species